GUGAAUCACUGCAGUUGUUACAUUAGUAUUAUAGUUGUGAAGUGAAUCUGACUUCUCCAUUGACUUUGCUUGUCAGAAGGUCACAAAAGGUGAUUGAUUACAUGAAUACCUCAACCAUCAUAAAUACGAGUCUGUUGCCAAAAGUCUGAAUUUUGAUCACAUGACCAUGGGGAUGCUGCAAUAAUCGUUUUCUGCAUGGCAACAGUGGCAACCAGGGGUCCUUAAGACUUCAAUCAAGCCAAAAGAUUCUCAGCUGAGGGGCCUCUCAUCUGAUCCCUCGCAUCCUGGACAUAAACUGUUUCAACUCCUACCCUCAAAACGACGCUAUAGAGCACUGCACACCAGAACAACUAGACACAAGAACCGUUUUUUCCCGAAGGCCAUCACUCUGCUAAACAAAUAAUUCCAUCAACACUGUCAGACUAUUUACUGAAUCUACACUACUAUUAAUCGUUUCAUAGUUCCCAUCACCAAUCUCU